GUAGGGUGCGAGCGUUGCCCGGAUUUAUUGGGCGUAAAGGGCGCGUAGGCGGCUCGGCACGUCCGUUGUGAAAUCGCCCGGCUCAACUGGGCGGGGUCAGCGGAUACGGUCGAGCUUGAGCAAGCUAGGGGGUAAUGGAAUUCCCGGUGUAGUGGUGGAAUGCGUAGAUAUCGGGAGGAACACCAGUGGCGAAGGCGGUUACCUGGGGCUUUGCUGACGCUGAUGCGCGAAAGCGUGGGGAGCGAUCCGGAUUAGAUACCCGGGUAGUCCACGCCGUAAACGAUGCGGACUAGGUGUCGGGGGUAUCGACCCCCUCGGCGCCGCAGCUAACGCAUUAAGUCCGCCGCCUGGGGACUACGGCCGCAAGGCUA
rnacentral:rRNA from 1 species